ACUGUCGUGAAAUCCCCGGGCUCAACCUGGGAAUGGCGAUGGUGACUGCAAGGCUAGAGUUUGGCAGAGGGGGGUAGAAUUCCACGUGUAGCAGUGAAAUGCGUAGAUAUGUGGAGGAACACCGAUGGCGAAGGCAGCCCCCUGGGUCAAAACUGACGCUCAUGCACGAAAGCGUGGGGAGCAAACAGGAUUAGAUACCCUGGUAGUCCACGCCCUAAACGAUGUCUACUAGUUGUCGGGUUUUAAUUAACUUGGUAACGCAGCUAACGCGUGAAGUAGACCGCCUGG
rnacentral:rRNA from 1 species